CUAGCCUUCGUGGACUCCCCUGACUCCAUCUUUGAACUUCUCUCUAAACCGCGUCGUCGAGGUCUGCAAUGUUGACACCCUCGGUUGUGACGCCGUCAAGGAUCUUCAGCGCCUCACCGAGAUUGCCAUCACGACCCUCAAACAAAUCUCCGUCGAUGAUGGCUAGGUCCACCGUUCCAAGAGGGUGCUCUCCGCCCUCGUCACAGCCAUGUUGCUUGACGACAACAACAAUGCCGCCAAGGGAACCGUACACACCUACUCCUUCAGCCACCACGCUGAAAACACCAACACCACCACCACCACUAGAUCUACAUGAUGAGCAUCGGAUCUAAAGAAGUCGAAGGUGUAGCUCUCCCUCAAAUGCGAAAGCCAUUUGCUUUUCGUGCUGGGGGGAAUGAUAUAGAAAACAGGUAUAUGUUAUGAACAGAGAAGCUUCAAUCAGGGACAACAGAGACAUAGCAGCAAACACGGAAGGUGAACUUACAGAAACUGGGGUGCAGAAGGAACCAAUAGUCAAAAGAAAGGUCAAAAAGCCCACCUAUUUGAAAGAUUUCAUCUGAAGGUAUCCAAUGGAAAUUGCCAGCUCACAAGAUCCUCCACAAUCCUCCUGCGGAUGCUGCGUAUCUGAGAGAAAAAGCAUCCAUAACAGAAAUUAGUUAGAUUCCUAGGAUUAUACCAAUUCUAGAAGAAACUAUUCCUUCCUAGGAUCUAUAAAUACUAUGUAAAUAACAGAAGGAUAAAUAAGAAAAAGCUGGAAUUUCUCCUUA